GAUGAACGCUGGCGGCGUGCUUAACACAUGCAAGUCGAGCGAAGCACUUAAGUUUGAUUCUUCGGAUGAAGACUUUUGUGACUGAGCGGCGGACGGGUGAGUAACGCGUGGGUAACCUGCCUCAUACAGGGGGAUAACAGUUAGAAAUGACUGCUAAUACCGCAUAAGACCACAGUACCGCAUGGUACAGUGGUAAAAACUCCGGUGGUAUGAGAUGGACCCGCGUCUGAUUAGGUAGUUGGUGGGGUAACGGCCUACCAAGCCGACGAUCAGUAGCCGACCUGAGAGGGUGACCGGCCACAUUGGGACUGAGACACGGCCCAGACUCCUACGGGAGGCAGCAGUGGGGAAUAUUGCACAAUGGAGGAAACUCUGAUGCAGCGACGCCGCGUGAAGGAUGAAGUAUUUCGGUAUGUAAACUUCUAUCAGCAGGGAAGAAAAUGACGGU
rnacentral:rRNA from 1 species